rnacentral:rRNA from 1 species
CCCUUAGAUGUUCUGGGCCGCACGCGCGCUACACUGACGAAGUCAGCGAGCAUGUCCUACGCCGACAGGUGCGGGGAAUCUUGUCAAACUUCGUCGUGAUGGGGAUUGAUUAUUGAAAUUCUUGAUCAUCAACGAGGAAUUCCUAGUAAGCGCAAGUCAGCAGCUUGCGUUGAUUACGUCCCUGCCCUUUGUACACACCGCCCGUCGCUACUACCGAUUGAAUGUGCCAGUGAAAAGUUAGGAUUGGGCGUGGGAGACGGCAACGUAUUCCACAUCCGAGAAAAUCUUUAAACUUUCCCAUUUAGAGGAAGGAGAAGUCGUAACA